AUUACGUAGUGACCUGCGGAGGUCAUU
rnacentral:rRNA from 1 species